GGGGAAUAUUGGACAAUGGGCGAAAGCCUGAUCCAGCAACGCCGCGUGAGGGAUGACGGCCUUCGGGUUGUAAACCUCUUUCAGCAGGGACGAGGCGAAAGUGACGGUACCUGCAAAAGAAGCACCGGCCAACUACGUGCCAGCAGCCGCGGUAAUACGUAGGGUGCGAGCGUUGUCCGGAAUUAUUGGGCGUAAAGGGCUCGUAGGCGGUUUGUCACGUCGGGAGUGAAAACUCGGGGCUCAACCCCGAGCUUGCUUCCGAUACGGGCUAACUAGAGGUAUGCAGGGGAGAACGGAAUUCCUGGUGUAGCGGUGAAAUGCGCAGAUAUCAGGAGGAACACCGGUGGCGAAGGCGGUUCUCUGGGCAUUACCUGACGCUGAGGAGCGAAAGUGUGGGGAGCGAAC
rnacentral:rRNA from 1 species